rnacentral:tRNA from 1 species
GCCUGGGUGGCUCAGUCGGUUAAGCGUCUGACUUCAGCUCAGGUCGUGAAUCUCACGGUCUGUGAGUUUGAGCCCCUCAUCAGGCU